rnacentral:rRNA from 1 species
CCUACGGGAGGCAGCAGUAGGGAAUCUUCCGCAAUGGACGAAAGUCUGAUGGAGCAAUGCCGCGUGAGUGAAGAAGGUUUUCGGAUCGUAAAGCUCUGUUGUGAGGGAAGAACAAGUACGGGAGUAACUGUCCGUACCUUGACGGUACCUCAUUAGAAAGCCACGGCUAACUACGUGCCAGCAGCCGCGGUAAU